GUGAUGUCACAAUGUUCUGGCUGGGUAAUGGGAUGCUUUGAGAAAUAGAAAGAAAGCUCUAGGCAGAUCCAAGAGAAUUACCAGAUAAGUCAUAAUUUUCCCUAUGAAUUUCUUUUUGAUCAUUUUUUUAUUUGGACUUUCUCCCCCAGGGAUUAGCAAAAAGUUCAGCAGUUUAAUAGGUUUCCCUGAAACUAUUAUUUUAUCAAGCCACAAUGAAGAUGUUAACAAAAGCACUGAAGAUGAUAAUAGUGACAUUAAUGAUAGUGCGAACUUUGAUGUUACUGAGGGAUAUGACGUAGCUCCACUACAAUUGACAGUUGAGAAAACUUUUAAUUUUUCUGCUGAAAGCUAUGGAAUAUUAAAAGACAGUAUGCAUAACCUUCAAGACUACCUUAAAAACCUUUCAAGGGAAACACCUGAAGAAGAAAUACAGCAUCCUAAAGUACAUGACUAUAAUGAUUUGGAACCAAAUGAACUCCCUGACUUCAUACAUCUAGAUAUACUUACUGAAGAAGAAAGAAAUCGUGAUCCUGAAAAGGGCCAAUACAGGAACCACUUAAAUAAGGUGUUAGAGGAACUGCCCAUGCCACCAAAAAUUAAGAAAGUGGAAAUGGAUGAGGAAGCAGUUAAUAAUGAAAAUGAGUCAACAGUUCCAAUCUCUGACAUCCCUUAUGAGACCAUUAGCCAAUCUCUUCAAAGAGAAGAUGUAAAGCUAAAAAUAAUGCUGACUAUAUCAUUGUUGACGUUCAUCAUUUUCUUAAUCUUCACGUGUAUUUGUUGUUUCAUUUUCUCCCAAGCACCGAAGAAAAGGCCUAAAAAAAAUCUUACCAUUAGACCUGAACUGGCAACCAUGUCUUAUUUUCAACCAGCAGAAGGUGUAUCAGAAACUUCCUUUUCUAAAAGUACACUUAGUAGCACACUGUGGGGGCCUGGAUGUCCAGACUUUAAAAACGGAAUGAAUGUGUCAGAGGCAACAGGGACAGUACAAUUUCUGCAUAAAAUGGAUGAAGAGUGCAUGAAGUCCUUACGGGGUAGUAAGGAACUUGAGCUUAGCAGUACUGAGCCACAUAGUAUGGAAAAGUCCGGCGAUGAGAUGUCCAGUCAGGAGUUAAACAGUUGGGAGUUGCCCGGUACAGAGGCUGAAAGUAGUGGAAAAUAGACUAAUUUUUUUCGUAAAAAUAAAAAUAAUUUGUCUUUUGAACCA
rnacentral:lncRNA from 1 species